CCCACCUCAAAUGAAGGCACCAACUCAGAGUGAACCAACCCACAGCGCCCCCAGUGGGCACCAUGGGUAGCAACCCACAAACAGCACAAACAAUGGAAUGGGCAUUUACAUGCCCACCAAAUCAUUUAC